AUUGAACGCUGGCGGCAGGCUUAACACAUGCAAGUCGAGCGAGCGGCGGACGGGUGAGUAAUGUCUGGGACACUGCCUGAUGGAGGGGGAUAACUACUGGAAACGGUAGCUAAUACCGCAUACCAUCAGAUGUGCCCAUGUGGGAUUAGCUAGUAGGUGGGGUAAUGGCUCACCUAGGCGACGAUCCCUAGCUGGUCUGGGAGGAUGACCAGCCACACUGGAACUGAGACCCGGUCCAGACUCCGACGGGAGGCAGAAGUGGGGAUUAGUGCACAAUGGGCGCAAGCCUGAUGCAGCCAUGCCGCGUGUGGGAAGAAGGUCUUCGGGUUGGAAAGCACUUUCAGCGAGGAGGCGUUACUCGCAGAAGAAGCACCGGCUAACGCCGUGCCAGCAGCCGCGUAUC
rnacentral:rRNA from 1 species